rnacentral:rRNA from 1 species
UACGAAGGGGGCUGGCGUUGCUCGGAAUUACUGGGCGUAAAGCGUGCGCAGGCGGUUUUGUAAGUCAGGGGUGAAAUCCCCGGGCUCAACCUGGGAAUGGCAUUUGGGACUGCAAGGCUGGAGUGUGGCAGAGGAGACUGGAAUUCCUGGUGUAGCAGUGAAAUGCGUAGAUAUCAGGAGGAAUACCGAUGGCGAAGGCAGGUCUCUGGGCUGACACUGACGCUCAUGCACGAAAGCGUGGGGAGCAAACAGG